rnacentral:rRNA from 1 species
GGGCCCGCACAAGCAGUGGAUUAUGUGGUUUAAUUCGAAGCAACGCGAAGAACCUUACCAGGGCUUGACAUCCUACGAAAGCUUCAGAGAUGAGGCUGUGCCCUUCGGGGAACGUAGAGACAGGUGGUGCAUGGUUGUCGUCAGCUCGUGUCGUGAGAUGUUGGGUUAAGUCCCGCAACGAGCGCAACCCUUAUUGUUAGUUGCUACGCAAGAGCACUCUAGCGAGACUGCCGUUGACAAAACGGAGGAAGGUGGGGACGACGUCAAAUCAUCAUGCCCUUUAUGUCCUGGGCUACACACGUAAUACAAUGGUGGUCAUACAGAGGGAUGCAAUGGAGUGAUCCGGAGCCAACCCCUAAAAGCCAUCUCAGUUCGGAUUGCAGGCUGCAACUCGCCUGCAUGAAGUUGGAAUUGCUAGUAAUCGCGGAUCAGCACGCCGCGGUGAAUACGUUCCCGGGCCUU